GACAGAGGGGGCAAGCGUUGCUCGGAAUUACUGGGCGUAAAGGGCGCGUAGGCGGGAUGGCAAGUCGGUCGUGAAAGCCUUCGGCUCAACCGAAGAACGUCGGCCGAUACUGCCGUUCUUGAGGGAUGCAGAGGAGACUGGAAUUCCCGGUGUAGCGGUGAAAUGUGUAGAGAUCGGGAGGAACACCGGUGGCGAAGGCGGGUCUCUGGGCAUCUCCUGACGCUGAGGCGGCGAAAAGCGUGGGGAGCAAACGGG
rnacentral:rRNA from 1 species